UACGUAGGGUGCUAACGUUGUUCGGAAUCACUGGGCAUAAAGAGCGCGUAGGCAGUCUGAUAAGUCAGGUGUGAAAUCCCCCGGCUCAACCGGGGAACUGCACCUGAUACUGUUGGGCUUGAGUGCAGGAGGGGAGAGCGGAAUUCCUGGUGGAGCGGUGAAAUGCGUAGAUAUCAGGAGGAACGCCGGCGGCGAAAGCGGCUCUCUGGUCUGUUACUGACGCUGAGGCGCGAAAGCUAGGGGAGCAAACGGG
rnacentral:rRNA from 1 species